rnacentral:lncRNA from 1 species
CGCUCGCAGACUGCCCGCAGACUGUGGCGGCGCCACAGACGGGCACGGCCGUGGUCAGCGCGUGUCUGUCUGCCGUCUGUGAGUGUUUAACUGACCCGAGAGUUACAGGCGGGCUGCAAACGGGUCCCAGCGACGGGCGCGGACAGGAGGCCUCGCGGCGGCCCGGCGCGCGCCUCACUGCGUGCGCGUGUUUGACGGAGCCACGCGUACAGAGUGGUUUUCCACGGUGAAAAGUUUUUUUUUUAAAAAAAUGUCUGUGUCACCAGACAGCUGUUCAUAAACACACAGCAGUCUAAGAUGGCUGGGUGACACAAUGGGAACUGCUUUUUUGGAUCCUCCUCUUUCAGCUUUUUGAGCACUGCUGAAGAGGCGAGAAGGGAGUCUCUGGUGAACAGUGGAGAUUGUGUAAAAAGAGAUGCUGGAUGAAGUCUGGAAGCUCUUGGACCACAGAACUUCUCAUGGACCUGAUCCAAAGCCUGAAGGUGAAACCUCAGUCAAGACAGGCAACAAGGAAUGUAAACAAGUAUUUUACACUUUUUAAGUAUUUUUGUUUUGACCUUCUCAAAGCUUGAAAAUCAUUGAUCUCUGCUGGGUUCAGAGGCAGAGGAAACAAGCCACCUGCAGCUCUGACAGGAGGCUUUGACCUUCACCAGGCUCUCCCCGCUGCAGACUAUUUUCAGGGGCGGCAUGAAGUCUGGGAGAGGCACCGGCCAGGAGUCCAUCAAGUCAGUGACUCCUGGGCGUUACUUAGACACACGGGGAACAGAAAAGAUAUGCAGAUGAGACUCUCGAUGAUGAAGACAGGUCAGUGCUGGAAAAUGAUGCCCAGAAAGGGGUGUUUUAUUGCUGUCAAACUUUACAGAAAUGAUUUAAGAGCACCAAGUAGGCAGGGCAUGCUACACAGAAUACACAACCUGUCUCUGCCACAUUUGUAGUAAGUUACCCUAAACCACAAAAGAAUAUAACAUGCAACUCAUUGCGGUCUGUCAUAUUAAAUAAAUACGAACUGGCUUGCUCA